UACGUAGGGUGCAAGCGUUAUCCGGAAUUAUUGGGCGUAAAGAGCUCGUAGGCGGUUUUGUCGCGUCUGCUGUGAAAACUGGAGGCUCAACCUCCAGCCUGCAGUGGGUACGGGCAGACUAGAGUGCGGUAGGGGAGAUUGGAAUCCUGGUGUAGCGGUGGAAUGCGCAGAUAUCAGGAGGACACCGAUGGCGAAGGCAGAGUCUCGG
rnacentral:rRNA from 1 species